GAUGAAGAACGCAGCGAAAUGCGAUACGUAAUGUGAAUUGCAGAAUUCAGUGAAUCAUCGAAUCUUUGAACGCAUAUUGCGCUCUUUGGUAUUCCGAAGAGCAUGCUUGUUUGAGUAUCAGUAAACACCUCAAAGCUUUUGGAUUUUUUAAUCGAAAAGCUUUGGACUUGAGCAAUCCCAACACCAAUCUUUUUGAGAUCGGUGGCGGGUUGCUUGAAAUGCAGGUGCAGCUGGACAUUCUCCUGAGCUAAAAGCAUAUUCAUGUAGUCCCGUAAAACGGAUUAUUACUUUUGCUGCAGCUAACAUAAAGAGAGUUUGACCGUAUUGGCUGACUGAUGCAGGAUUUCACAAGGGUCGGCAACGAUUCUUGUUAAACUCGAUCUCAAAUCAAGUAAGACUACCCGCUGAACUUAAGCAUAUCAAUAAGCGGAGGA
rnacentral:misc_RNA from 1 species